GGUCUCGCUCGUUACCUGACUUAACAGGAUGCUUCACAGUACGAACUGACGACGGCCAUGCACCACCUCUCAGCUAAUCCGGUAAAGUCUUCAGCCUGACCUUCAUAUCGCUGUCGCCCCCGGUGAGAUUUCCGGCGUUGAAUCCAAUUAAACCGCAGGCUCCACCCGUUGUAGUGCUCCCCCGCCAAUUCCUUUAAGUUUCAGCCUUGCGGCCAUACUUCCCAGGUGGCUCGCUUCACGGCUUCCCUACGGCACCAAUCACGGUCGCACCGUGACUGACACCUAGCGAGCAUCGCGUACGGCUAGGACUACCCGGGUAUCUAAUCCGGUUCGUGCCCCUAGCCUUCGUCCCUUGCCGUCAGGUCCGUUCUGGUGAGACGCCUUCGCCACUGGUGGUCCUUCAAGGAUUACAAGAUUUCACCCCUACCCCUGAAGUACCUCUCACCUCUCCCGGCCUCGAGCCAGACAGUAUCUCCUGAAAGCCUGACAGUUAAGCUGCCAGAUU
rnacentral:rRNA from 1 species